AAAAGAAUGAAAUGAGUGAGAGAAACGAGCGAUCUAAUUUUAAGGUUAGGAAUUUAUAAACAAUGAAAUGAAAAUGAUACAUUCAAUCUCUCAAAAUGACAGCAACAUGUUCAAGCCUUUAAAAAUUUUGGUUGGUUUGGUUAGUUUGGUUUUUUUCAUUGAACUAACCGAACCAAAAAAAUGAAAUUUCUUAAAAUGAUAACUGAAACCAAAUUAGAUCGAUUGAGUUUUUUCAUUUAAAUCAAUUUCUUCUCAACACUAUAUACAUAAGCUAUUAAGCAAACAAUAAUAUUUUUUGAAAAAUAACAUAAAAUGUAAAUCAUUUAAUAUCACAAGGUUAAAG
rnacentral:misc_RNA from 1 species